UUGUUAGUUACUAAGUGCAGCCUGGAAACAAACUUUGCACAAAUUUUUGCACAUGUUCAGAUCUUUAUGAGUAAUUUUGUGUACAGUUGUUCACUCCAACUCCAAA